rnacentral:tRNA from 1 species
UCCUCGGUAGCUCAAUUGGCAGAGCAAUCGGCUGUUAACUGAUGGGUUUCUGGUUCGAGUCCAGACCGAGGAGCCU